rnacentral:piRNA from 1 species
UNGAGGUUCCGAAGUUGGGCAGAGCAAUGC